CAAGAGCGUAUGUAAAAGUUGUUGCAGUUAAAAGGCUCGUAGUUGAACCUUGGGUUUGGUUGGCCGGUCCGCUUUUUUGCGAGUACUGGAUUCAACCGAGCCUUUCCUUCUGGCUAACCAGUCGUUUCGGCGGCUGGCGAACCAGGAUUUUUACUUUGAGAAAAUUAGAGUGUUCAAAGCAGGCAUUAGCUUGAAUAUAUUAGCAUGGAAUAAUAGAAUAGGACGUUAUGGUUCUAUUUUGUUGGUUUCUAGGACCAUCGUAAUGAUUAAUAGGGACGGUCGGGGGCAUCAGUAUUCAGUUGUCAGAGGUGAAAUUCUUGGAUUUACUGAAGACUAACUACUGCGAAAGCAUUUGCCAAGGACGUUUUCAUUAA
rnacentral:rRNA from 1 species